AAAAUACUCCCUCCAUUCGGAAUUACUCGUCCAAGAAAUGAAUGUAUCUAGAUGUAUUUUAGUUGUAGAUACAUCCAUUUUUGUGACAAGUAAUUCCGAACGAAAGGAGUAGAAG
rfam:Triticum aestivum genome assembly, contig: Triticum_aestivum_CS42_TGACv1_scaffold_603074_7DL